UGCAUCGGCCGGGAAUCGAACCCGGGCCGGUGGCAGGCGAGCAUUCUACCACUGAACCACCGAUGG
rnacentral:tRNA from 1 species